rnacentral:rRNA from 1 species
AUGCACGCUGGCGGCGUGCCUCAUCCAUGCCAGUCGCGCGAACAGACGAGGAGCUUGCUCCUCUGACGUUAGCGGCGGACGGGUGAGUAACACGUGGAUAACCUACCUAUAAGACUGGGAUAACUUCGGGAAACCGGAGCUAAUACCGGAUAACAUGUUGAACCGCAUGGUUCAACAGUGAAAGACGGUUUUGCUGUCACUUAUAGAUGGAUCCGCGCCGCAUUAGCUAGUUGGUAAGGUAACGGCUUACCAAGGCAACGAUGCGUAGCCGACCUGAGAGGGUGAUCGGCCACACUGGAACUGAGACACGGUCCAGACUCCUACGGGAGGCAGCAGUAGGGAAUCUUCCGCAAUGGGCGAAAGCCUGACGGAGCAACGCCGCGUGAGUGAAGAAGGUCUUCGGAUCGUAAAACUCUGUUAUUAGGGAAGAACAAAUGUGUAAGUAACUAUGCACGUCUUGACGGUACCUAAUCAGAAAGCCACGGCUAACUACGUG